UACGGGGGGAGCAAGCGUUGUUCGGAUUUACUGGGCGCAAAGGGCGCGUAGGCGGCCACCGCAAGUCGACUGUGAAAUCUCCGGGCUUAACCCGGAAAGGUCAGCCGAUACUGCGGGGCUAGAGUGCAGAAGGGGCAACUGGAAUUCUCGGUGUAGCGGUGAAAUGCGUAGAUAUCGAGAGGAACACCUGCGGCGAAGGCGGGUUGCUGGGCUGACACUGACGCUGAGGCGCGAAAGCUAGGGGAGCGAACGGG
rnacentral:rRNA from 1 species